rnacentral:misc_RNA from 1 species
AAGUCGUAACAAGGUUUCCGUAGGUGAACCUGCGGAAGGAUCAUUAUCAAAAGUCAAGUCGGGGGCUGUAAAGCUCUCGUCUACACCCAUGUCUUUUGCGUACUCUUGUUUCCUCGGUGGCGCAAGCUGCCGAUUGGACAAACCAAAACCUUUUUUGUGAUUGCAAUCAGCGUCUGAAAAUAAUCUAAUUAUUUACAACUUUCAACAACGGAUCUCUUGGUUCUG